rnacentral:rRNA from 1 species
AUACGGAGGAUCCGAGCGUUAUCCGGAUUUAUUGGGUUUAAAGGGUGCGCAGGCGGCCAUUUAAGUCAGCGGUUAAAUCGUGGGGCUCAACCCCAUUCUGCCGUUGAUACUGGGUGGCUUGAUUGCGGUCGAGGUUGGCGGAAUUCGUUGUGUUGCGGGGAAAUGCAUAGAUAUGACGAAGAACACCGAUUGCGUAGGCAGCUGACCAGACCGCAAAUGACGCUCAUGCACGAAAGUGCGGGGAUCGAACAGGAUUAGAUACCCUGGUAGUCCGCACAGUAAACGAUGAAUACUUGUUUUCGGCGAUAUAAUGUCGGAGGCAAAGCGAAAGCAAUAAGUAUUCCACCUGGGGAGUACGCCGGCAACGGUGAAACUUAAAGGAAUUGACGGG